rnacentral:tRNA from 1 species
GCCCCUGUAGCCCAAUUGGUACGAGGCGCUUUAUUUAAAAUAAAGAGGAUGCUGGUUCAAAUCCAGUCAGGGGUA